UCUUUCACCCUAAAAUAGUUUCCCACGUUCACUUUCCCUUCCCUCUCACUCUUGUCUCUCUUGUAUAAUUCCAGUAGCAUAGUUUCGUGUUCUUCAAAACAUUAUUGUCAACAAAGCCCCUAGGCCCCCUAACCCUAGUUGAUGUGGUGCAUUUGAGGAAAUCUGCACCCUAUCUCUGAGAGGUUUAGUUGGUCAAUCUGCACCAAAGAAUAAGGGUACAAUGUCACAAUUGCUUGCUGCUAAAAUAACAUUAGCAAUGUGCUUGACACAAAGCAUUGGAGAUAUUAUGAUUUUGGUCUUAAAGUAGUGCCUCCACUAAUAUGUCUUCAUGGCGCGGUAGCACUGUCAAGGAAGAUGAGGCACAUUGAUUACAUUCGAGUCCGGAACUUCCCCAACUUAUGAUGACUUUAAGGAUAUAUGACAAUUGUGUGUGCUCACAAUGAAGAACCUAUGAUUUAUGUUAUCUAGAUUCGAGGUUCAUCUUCAAAUUUGCGAGUCUAUGCAAGAGGUCAAUGUUACCAUUCAUGUUCCUCCCGGAAUCGAGUCAAGAUUUAUAGCAUGUGAAAUCACCAAAAACCAUAUAAAAGUUGGACUCAAGAGUCAGCCUCCAAAUACUUGGAAGUGUGCAGAACCAGAUGGGCUAAGGAAAUUCGCAUGUUAAUGUGUCUAUUGGCUAAUUCGUAUUUUUUAUUUAGAGUUCUAUUGGCUAAUUCGUUUAUGUUAAUGUGUCUUCAGAAGCGUUGUUUGUGGGCUAAGGAAAUUCGCAUGUCUCAAAAGAAUACGUAAACAGCCGGCCCAAAAAGUUUCGCCAGAAUUCGUGAAGAGAUGAGAAAUGACGACCCAAACAAGGAAUUACCUAGCUUAACCAAAGUGUUUGAAUGUACACGGAAAGGGACCGAAGGACGUUCAUAUCUUGAUACAUAUGACAAUACGGAAACGAAAAUUGAACAAAUGAAAAAUUACAAACCUCGCGAAGAUGGAAGUGCUUUGGUGGAUCCUUUUACGAUUGUAAUGAACAAGGAGCAUGAUGGCUACCUUUGACUUUAUGGCGGGGUGUUACUAAAAAAUGUUGAAAAAAAUGGAUGGUGGUGAAGAACCAUACAUGAUUCCGGGUGGGCUUAUGGAAUCAUUCCAAGCAAGCCUUGAAGUUGAAAAAACCCAAUUGUUUGAAAUGAGAAAAGAAAUUGAAGAAGCUAUCAAGAAAGAUAUUUACAGCCAACAAGCACACUUGGAAUCUAGGAUACAAA